GUUAUUGUAGCUUAAAUUAUCUAAAGCACGGCACUGAAAAUGCCGAAAUGGACACCUGUCCCAAAAACA
rnacentral:tRNA from 1 species